rnacentral:other from 1 species
CAGUCACUGCGUGGUUCGACACCGGACGCAUACACAAUUGAGCCAACAUAUGAAUACCGGGAGGUUAAUGCCGGCCUCGGUGCGAGUCUCCAGGCGAGAACUUGCCAUAGUCGACGGCUCUGAUGUCACGAUUUAAUCGGGACAGAAAACCACCCACCUGUAACAAUCAGGUUCAAUUCAUACGUUCGAACGGCUUCGCGGUCUACUU